AUGGAUGCUGAAAAAAUAGUCAUGUCUUUGAUUCUGAUCAUUCUUUUGUUUCCAUUUUGCACUUCCCUUAACACCUUCACACCAGACCAAUCCAUCAAGGAUGGCCAAUCUUUGAUUUCCAGAGAAAAUAAUUUUGCCUUAGGCUUCUUCAGCCCCAGCAACUCCAGCUUUCGGUAUCUUGGUAUCUGGUAUGUUAAAGUGACAAAACAAACUGUUGUUUGGGUUGCGAACAGGAAUGAUCCUGUCAAAGAUUCCUCUGGAGUUCUCUCCAUCAACCAGUUUGGAAAUCUUGUCCUCCAUGACAGUUUUAACCGUCGUUGGUCUACAAAUGUUUCUGUCCAAGAGACAACCUCCUGUGUUGCUCAGCUUCAAGAUUCAGGAAACCUGGUAUUGAUUCAGGGCAAUAACAAAAAGGUGUUAUGGCAAAGCUUUGACUAUCCUACAGACACUUUGCUUCCAAACAUGAGGCUUGGGUUGAAUCGGAUAAUUGGGCUAGACAGUUUCCUGACAUCUUGGAAGUCAGAAGAUGACCCUGGAACUGGGGACUACUUCUAUAAGAUGAAUCCUACUGGCUCUCCACAGGUCUCCUUAUAUAAGGGUUCGACCCUUUAUUGGCGGUCAGAUCCAUGGCCAUGGAAAACAUCAUCAUCAGCAGCAGCAUCAGUCUCAUCGGUUUUUUAUAACGAUUUUGUUAACAACAAAGAUGAAGUAUCUUACGCAUACUUUUUGGACGACCUCUCCAUCAUUUCUAGACUAGUGGUUGACAACUCUGGAUUGCUCCAAAACCUUAUGUGGAAUGAUGAUGAUCUUCAAUGGAAGGAAUCCUGGUCAGCACGUAAAUACCAGUGUGAUUACUAUGGACACUGUGGUCCAAAUAGUAAAUGUGUUCUUGAUUCGGAUGACAAUACUAAUAAGUUCGAGUGUACGUGUUUGCCAGGGUAUGAACCCAAGUCACCAAAGGAUUGGUAUCUCAGAGAUGGUUCUGGGGGGUGUGUAAGGAAGCAGCCGGGGUUUUCUAUGUGUGGAAAUGGAGAAGGGUUUGUGAAGUUGACACGUUUGAAGGGUCCAGAUUCAUCCAAUGCAGCGUGGAUGGACAUGAGUAUGAGUAGCUCAGAGUGCGAGAAGGCACGCUUGAGUAAUUGUUCUUGCACAGCUUUUACCAGCAUGAAUAUUGAUGGGAAGGGGACCCGCUGUUUGGCAUGGUAUGGUGAAUUGAUGGACAUUUCAGAGAAUACAUUAGAACCGUGGGAUCUAAAUGUACGUGUGGAUGCAACGGAGUUAGCUACUUACACUAGGAAGUCCAAAGGUUUUCUUGGCCCCAAGGGGCGGAGGGCUGUUAUAAUUAUAUCUGUUUCUGUGCCAUUGUUUCUGGUGUCCUUGAUAGCCUAUAUGUGGCUAAUGAAGAGGAAAAAAAAAAGGUAUAUAAAUGCUAAAUUGCAAAAUUAUAGUGAGCAAUUCCUAUCAAUAUGUUGUAGGACAGUGAAGAGAAAUUUGCAAAAUCAAUCAUUAUCUUUUAUUGGCACCAAAGACUCUUUGGAGGGGAAUGAGCUUGAGGACAAUAGUAGACAUCCUGAUUUAUCAAUUUUCGAUCUAAGUCGCAUAGUUUCUGCCACUGACAAUUUCUCUCCGUCCAACAAACUUGGGCAAGGUGGUUUUGGCUCUGUUUUUAAGGUACAGCUAUCCAAGAGUUCAGGACAAGGAAUAGAAGAAUUCAAAAAUGAAGUUACUUUGAUUGCAAAACUUCAACAUAGGAAUCUUGUCAAAAUUUUUGGCUGUUGCAUUCAAGAGGAAGAAAAGAUGCUGAUUUAUGAGUACAUGCCCAACAAAAGCUUGGACUCCUUCAUUUUUGAUCCUACAAGAAGUUCAUUGCUAAAUUGGAGGAAACGCUUUGAAAUCAUCGUUGGGAUUGCUCGUGGAAUUUUGUAUCUUCAUCAAGACUCAAGAUUAAGAAUUAUUCAUAGGGAUCUUAAAACCAGCAAUAUUCUACUAGAUGAUGAGAUGAACCCCAAAAUUUAUGAUUUUGGCAUAGCCCGUAUAUUCAAAGGGGACCAAAUCCAAGACAAGACAAACAGAGUUGUUGGAACAUAUUUUGGUGUCAUAAUGUUGGAGAUCGUAAGUGGCCAGAAGAACAACAAUUCGUAUCAAGAGCAUACUUCCCUAACUUUGAUCGGGCAUGUUUGGGAACUAUGGAGAGAAGAUAAAGCCAUGGAUAUAGUUGAUUCAUCGCUAAAUGAUAGUGAAAUAACUCUUCCUUCUCCAAAAGAGCCUGCCUUCAUUUUCAGAAGAACAGGCAAUGAUCUAGGAUCAACCACAGGAGAGGGAUCUCACUCUAUAGACCGCGUGACAAUAACUCUAAUGGUUCUCUUCUUCCCAUUUUGCAUUUCCCUUGACAUCUUAGCACCAAACCAAUCCAUCAAGGAUGGCCAAUCUUUGAUUUCCAAAGAAAAAAACUUCGCCUUAGGCUUCUUCAGCCCUGGUAACUCUAGCCAUCGCUAUCUUGGUAUUUGGUAUGUUAAAGUGAAAAAUCAAACCGUAGUAUGGGUUGCAAACAGGAAUGAUCCUAUCAAUGAUUCCUCCGGAGUUCUCUCAGUCAACCAGUUUGGAAACCUUGUCCUUCACGACAGUUCUAACCGUCUUGUUUGGUCUACAAAUGUGUCUGUUAAAGGAACAACCACCUCAACCUCCUCUGUAGCUCUGCUUCAAGAUUCAGGAAACUUAGUAUUGGUCCAAGACAAUAACCAAAAGGUACCGUUAUGGCAAAGCUUCGACUAUCCCACAGAUACUUUGCUUCCAAAAAUGAGGCUUGGUGUGAAUUUGAUAACUGGACUAGACAGGUUCUUGACAUCUUGGAAGUCACAAGAUGACCCCGGAUCUGGGGACUGCUUCUAUAAAAUGAUAAUUUCUGGCUCCCCUGAAGGGUUUGUUUACAAGGGUUCGACCCCAUAUUGGCGGCUGGGUCCAUGGCCAUGGCGUAGCUCAUCACCAGCAACAGCAACAGCUUCAUCAGGUCAUUCGAUUGAUUUUGUAAACAAUAAAGAUGAGGUAUCUUAUGCUUACUUUCUUGAUGACCCUGAUAUUAUUUCUAGAUUAGUGGUUGACAACUCUGGAUUGCUACAACAACUUAUGUGGAAUGAAGCUGAUCUUCAAUGGAAGGAGACUUGGUCAGUACCUAAAUACCGCUGUGACAAGUAUGGACAGUGUGGUGCGUAUAGUAAAUGUAAGCCUGAAAAUUCUAAUAGGUUCGAUUGUAUGUGUUUGCCAGGGUAUGAACCCAAGUCUCCAAGGGAUUGGUAUCACAGAGAUGGUUCUGGGGGUUGUGUUAGGGAAAAGUUGGGGAUGUCAAUGUGUGGGAAUGGAGAAGGGUUUGUGAAGGUGCAACAUUUGAAGGGUCCUGAUUCAGCUAAUGCAGCUUGGAUGGACAUGGGUAUGAGUAGCUCAGAGUGUGAGCAGGCAUGCUUGAGUAAUUGCUCUUGCACAGCUUUUAUUAGUAUAGAUAUUGAUGGGAAGGGGACAGGUUGCUUGACAUGGUAUGGUGAAUUGGUAGACAUUUUGGAGAAUUCAGAUGAAGGGUGGGAUUUAAAUAUUCGUGUGGAUGCAUCGGAGUUAGCCAAGUAUACAAGGAAGUCCAAAGGUUUUCGUGGCAACAAGAGGCUGCUGGCUAUUACAAUAUUGUGUGUUGCUGUGCCAUUUUUUCUGGUAUCCUUGCUAGUCUAUAUGUUGCUAAUGAAGAAGAGGAAAACAAAAGGUAACAAAAUCAGUUGAAUUGUAAAAUUGCACAAUCAAUCAUUAAGUUUUAUUGGUACCAAAUGCUCUUUGGAGGGAAAUGAGCUCGAGGACAGUAGUAGACAUCCAGAUUUGUCCACUUUCAAUCUAAGUUGCAUUGUUGCAGCCACUGACAAUUUCUCUCCGACCAACAAACUUGGGCAAGGUGGUUUUGGCUCUGUUUUUAAGGGUCAAUUACCUAAUGGACAACAGAUAGCUGUAAAAAGGCUAUCCAAGAGUUCAGGACAAGGAAUAGAAGAAUUCAAAAAUGAAGUUAUGCUGAUUGCAAAACUUCAGCAUAGGAAUCUUGUCAAACUUUUUGGGUGUCGCAUUCAAGAGGAAGAAAAGAUGUUGAUUUAUGAGUACAUGCCCAACAAAAGCUUGGACUCCUUCAUUUUUGAUCAUACAAGAGGUUCAAUACUAAAUUGGAGAAAACGCUGUGAAAUUGUUGAUGGGAUUGCUCGUGGGAUUUUGUAUCUUCAUCAAGACUCAAGAUUGAGAAUUAUCCAUAGGGAUCUUAAAACUAGCAAUAUUUUACUAGAUGCUGAAAUGAACCCCAAAAUUUCAGACUUUGGCAUGGCUCGUAUAUUUAAAGGGGACCAAAUUCAAGACAAAACAACUAGAGUUGUUGGAACAUAUGGUUAUAUGUCACCGGAGUAUGCAGUAUUUGGGAAAUUUUCAAUAAAAUCAGAUGUCUUCAGUUUUGGUGUCGUAUUGUUGGAGAUCAUAAGCGGCAAGAAGAAUAACGAUUCUUAUCAGAAACACCCUUCCCUAACUUUGAUUGGCCAUGUAUGGGAACUAUGGAGAGAAGGUAGAGCUUUGGAUAUAAUUGAUUCAUCGAUAAAUGAUUCAUAUGUUUCCGAUCAAGUCUUGAGAUGCAUUCAAAUUGGGCUCUUAUGUGUGCAAGAAGAUGUAAUGGAUCGACCAACAAUGUUGGCAGUUCUUCAUAUGCUGAGUAGUGAGGCAACACUUCCUUCUCCUAAACAACCUGCUUUCAUUUUUUAGAAGACCUAUCCAAGAUUUGGUUCCAGUCAUAGGAGGAGGUUCUUGUUCUAUAAAUGAAGUGACAAUAUCUAAGGUUGAAGCUCGCUAA